rnacentral:rRNA from 1 species
GAUGAACGCUGGCGGCGUGCCUAAUACAUGCAAGUCGAGCGAACAGACGAGGAGCUUGCUCCUCUGACCUUAGCGGCGGACGGGUGAGUAACACGUGGAUAACCUACCUAUAAGACUGGGAUAACUUCGGGAAACCGGAGCUAAUACCGGAUAAUAUAUUGAACCGCAUGGUUCAAUAGUGAAAGACGGUUUUGCUGUCACUUAUAGAUGGAUCCGCGCCGCAUUAGCUAGUUGGUAAGGUAACGGCUUACCAAGGCAACGAUGCGUAGCCGACCUGAGAGGGUGAUCGGCCACACUGGAACUGAGACACGGUCCAGACUCCUACGGGAGGCAGCAGUAGGGAAUCUUCCGCAAUGGGCGAAAGCUUGACGGAGCAACGCCGCGUGAGUGAUGAAGGUCUUCGGAUCGUAAAACUCUGUUAUUAGGGAAGAACAAAUGUGUAAGUAACUAUGCACGUCUUGACGGUACCUAAUCAGAAAGCCACGGCUAACUACGUG